AACGCGAAGAACCUUACCUGGGCUUGACAUGUGCCUGACCGCCGUGGAAACACGGCUUCCCUUCGGGGCAGGUUCACAGGUGGUGCAUGGCUGUCGUCAGCUCGUGUCGUGAGAUGUUGGGUUAAGUCCCGCAACGAGCGCAACCCCCGUCGCAUGUUGCCAGCAUUUAGUUGGGGACUCAUGCGAGACUGCCGGUGACAAACCGGAGGAAGGUGGGGAUGACGUCAAGUCAUCAUGCCCCUUAUGUCCAGGGCUACACACGUGCUACAUUGGCGCAUACAGAGGGCUGCGAUACCGCGAGGUGGAGCGAAUCCCUUAAAGUGCGUCUCGGUUCGGAUUGCAGGCUGAAACUCGCCUGCAUGAAGGCGGAGUUGCUAGUAAUCGCGGAUCAGCAUUGCCGCGGUGAAUACGUUCCCGGGCCUUGUA
rnacentral:rRNA from 1 species